AGGUGCGAUCAUACCAGCACUAAUGCACCGGAUCCCAUCAGAACUCCGCAGUUAAGCGUGCUUGGGCGAGAGUUGUACUAGAUUUGUUGACCUCCGGGGAAGUCCUCGUGUUGCACCUU
rfam:Cicer arietinum chromosome Ca3, whole genome shotgun sequence.